rnacentral:ncRNA from 1 species
GGGGAAGCCGGUGCGAUUCCGGCGCUGACCCGCAACCGUGAACGCGCCCCGCGGGGCGCAUGAGCCGGAACACCC